rnacentral:rRNA from 1 species
UACAGAGGGGGCAAGCGUUGUUCGGAAUUACUGGGCGUAAAGGGCGCGUAGGCGGCCUGCUAAGUCGAACGUGAAAUCCCCGGGCUCAACCCGGGAACUGCGUCCGAUACUGGAAGGCUUGAAUCCGGGAGAGGGAUGCGGAAUUCCAGGUGUAGCGGUGAAAUGCGCAGAUAUCGGGAGGAACACCAAUGGCGAAGGCAGCUCGCUGGGACGGUACUGACGCUGAGACGCGAAAGCGUGGGGAGCA